GAACUUUGAUCUGGAGGAUGCGGUCACAUUUUGCUUGGAGGUACGAAUUGUCUAGAAAAACCCAAAAAAGAAGAACACGCCUUUAAAUAACUCUUCAAACUGAAUUUAAAAAAUUCCUGGGCCUCAGCCCAGAGCUACUGACUGAGAAAAUCUGGGAGCGAGUCUGGAAGCCGCCUCUUUACCAAUAUCUUCAGGUGAUGCCGAUGAAGCUACAUUGAAAACAUCACCGAGAUCAAGCGUAGGAAGCCAACCCCUCGCUCAGGACUUGAUACACAGGAAGAGCUUAAGAAAUGCCAACCUUCCUUCCGGCCCCCUCCACCUCUUUGCACGGGACCCGUGAAGAAAGAACAGAGGAUGACUGAUUGCAUUUGAUGCAACAAUGACCAUUUCAUGUGACAACAAAAAAAAUCAAGUGGUCCUAGACACUUAAUCUUUUCAGGACAUCUCAUCACCUUCCAGCAUCUGAAAUCACCAUGUUUGCCUGCAACGUGUGGACUAGGGAGAAAUGACUAUUUCGGUUGUGCAGGCUAGUCCACCACCUUUCAUCCAAGAAAUCCGUGUCCCAAAGUGACUUUCUGACAGUUGGUAAGAGCCUGUUCUUCCUCAGGUGGCCCCAAUUUCAGCUCGCUUCUCUUAAGGGAGCGCUGCACCAUGCUGAGUGAGAUCACAAGGCUUAGAGGUGGAUGACUAUUUUGACUCCGUGUGAUUUUUACCUUAUGCUCUGACUUUGGAUUUCCAUUGUAAACCCAUUGCAUUUUGGAUUUUGCAAUUUGCAGAUCCAUUGUAUUUUUUUUCUGGGGUCAAAAGAUUCUGUUGAGUUCCUUCGUCUUGUCUUAGAGACAUUCCUAAAUGGGACUAUUGUAAUGUGUGGCGAAUGAAAGAAUAUAGGACCCUUCAUUGAAUCCCUA